ACUGCAGGCAGAAAAUGUAGUUCAUAAUGUAUUCGAUAAAACACACAAAGUGCCAUGAAAAAAUAUUUAGCAGCUCUCUUUUCAACAAAACCGGGCUUGCUCAAAUUUAGCUAGCCUAAAUACUUUCACGCCUUAUUGUCUAAAACCCAGACUUUCCAUCGUAACGCUGCUGACACCGUUCAAACCGGCUGGCACAGUUCAAAUGAGCGCUAUGAUAACAGGUAAUAACCCUGAACUAGUGCUUUGUCGUCACCACACCUGCAUCUGAUUUUGUCAAAGAUGGCGCCUCCCUUUUGCCGAUUAUUGAUCCUGUUUACUUUUUGUCCCACAAACAAUUUUUAUCAGCGUACCGUGUUUUGACUAGUGCUGGCACAGACAAUGUAUAGUGGGGGCGGGAGGUGUUUUCCUUUCAUGUGACCGGUUUGGUGAUGCUGCCUAAGGAAAUUGGUGGUCACACUAUAUACUGACCCCACAAUUCUAUUGACAUGUGACAAUAAUCAUGCUAUCUGUAAUUUGUAUCUUUGGGAGGUGGCAGUGUGAGAAAGGCUCCACUACACAUAUUUAGACAGAUUUUUGACAAGCAUUUGAGAGAAAUUAGCAUUUUGUCUAUGUAGAAAAAGUUUUAUGUCUUUGAGUCCAGAUCAUGAAAAAAUGGGGGCAAAAUCAAAAAUUUUGCAUUAAUAUUUUUUUCUAAGAAACUUUGAGGUAACUACUCCAACCCCGAUGUUUCUCAGAUAAAGAUGUCAAUUUCAUCCACUUAGAUUUCAUGCCAAUUCAAUGGCAUGCCAAAAUAUGUACUAAAAUAAAAGAAAAUGGCAGAUAUUUACAUUGUAGUUAUGUAUGAACAUUCAUAACUACUGUAUGUGUGGCUUGUACUAUGAGGACAGCUGUCUUGUUAUCACAGUGGCCCAUUCAGACUGGUUUGGCUUUGCAGAGUAUUAAAAAGUAAAACAAAAACUAAAAAUAAAUACAAGAAAAUCAUAUAAAAGGGUGGGUUAAUGAGUUAUUAUAUAAUGUUAUAAGGGUGAUGAGUUAUAUAAGGGGUGAUGCCAAACUUCCCAGAUCAUGAUGUUUUGGAAAAGAAGAGCGUGAGAAACCUACUUUCGAUAUCCUGGUUAUGCUCCUCUGAACUAACACCAGCAUCGGUUAUCCUGAGCUCCAGUGAAACCAUGACUUGAGAAGAUGACUUGUAUACAAUGCUGAACAGUGUGUUGAAUAAAGGCACAUGGAGAGAGAAGAUCCUGUCAAAUGAAAUAAGCACAAAAAAGUCAACAUCAGGAGCCACUGAUAU